GAGGGCGUUUCCCGGCCGGGGGGACGCUCCGCUCCGGGUUUUCCCGGCGACUUGCAUCCGCGGAGGGUCGGGAGCCCCGCGGGCUGGCCGCUCGCUGCCCUCUAGCUCUGGCUGGGCGGGAGGCCCGCGGGGGCGUCGCGCCCUGUGGAGAAAGCCAACCUCUGAGGGGGGCUUGGGGCAAAGAUGAGGCGGGGCAUGGGCGUCCUGAGGGGAGCGGAACAACUGGAUGUUUAGUUUUACUUCACUUGCUCCCUUCGCUUCUCCCUGCUCCCCUUCCCCAAAACUUUCUCUUCCGGGGUCAGGCGGGACUGCGCCCCGGAGCGUACCUUGCGCGGCGUGGGCGCCUGGAGCUACGGGACUCGGUGUGGGAGGGUGUGAGGUGCUUCCCCGCCCUCGGUGCUACUUUCCCGGCUUGCUUGUGAGCUCGCUGCCCGCAGCGGCCCCGCACGCGCUCCCGGCCCUGCCGUGCCCGCCGGCGCCCGGGCAGCGCCUGCAGGCUUCGGCCACCGCAGUGUGUGCACACAGUGCGAGGCAGGCUCCCUCCCCGUGCCGCCGAAAGCAUCUGAGGCGGGGAGUUUGCGACAUUCCCACAGAUGUGGAUGCUCCCGGCCAGCAGCCCUAGAGCAGAAACGAGCUGGCUGAGAAACAUGGUAAGGCUGAUUUUCUGCCACCCUUCAUAGAAAACUGUGGUUCCUGACUGAGAGACUUGUGGAAAGAUCACUUACUUUGGGGAAGCCGGCUGCCAUGUUGAGCAGCCCAGUGGAGAGGUCCACAUGGUAAGGAAUUGGAGCUGCUGGAAUAAGGAUAGCUGCUGAUGACAGCUAUCAAAGAACUGAGGUUUCUUGAUAAUAGUCAUAUAAGUGAGCCAUGUUGCAAGGCAAUUCUUCAGCCCCAGUCAAGUCUUCGAAUGACUGCAGUAAUAGCUUGACUGAAACCUCAUGACAAAUCGUGACCCAGACCACUCAGCUAAGCUGCUCCCCAGUCUUGACCCUCAGAAACUGUGUAAGACAAUAAAUGUUUGUUGGUUUAAGCUGCUAA